rnacentral:rRNA from 1 species
GAUAGAACGCUAGCGGCAGGCCUAAUACAUGCAAGUCGAACGGAUAUAUGUUUUUCGGAAUAUAUAUUAGUGGCGCACGGGUGAGUAACACGUACAUAACUUGCCCUCAAGCGGGGGAUAGCCUUGGGAAACUGAGAGUAAUACCCCAUAGAAUUAUUGGACGGCAUCGUUUGAUAAUUAAAACUACGGUGCUUGGGGAUAGAUGUGCGUCUGAUUAGCUAGUUGGUGAGGUAACUGCUCACCAAGGCGACGAUUAGUAGGGGGCGUGAGAGCGUGGCCCCCCACACGGGUACUGAGACACGGACCCGACUCCUACGGGAGGCAGCAGUAAGGAAUAUUGGUCAAUGGAGGGAACUCUGAACCAGCCAUGCCGCGUGAAGGAUGACGGCCCUCUGGGUUGUAAACUUCUUUUGGAUGGGGCGAAAAAACGGGAUUUAUCCUGGACUGACGGUACCAUCAGAAUAAGCACCGGCUAACUCCGUG